rnacentral:rRNA from 1 species
GACGAACGCUGGCGGCGUGCUUAACACAUGCAAGUCGAACGAAGUGGCGAACGGGUGAGUAACGCGUAAUCAACCUGCCCUUCAGAGGGGGACAACAGUUGGAACCGACUGCUAAUACGGCAUACUGAAGGUGGGGGUUGAGUCUGAUUCGCUAGUUGGGGGGGUAACGGCCCAACAAGGCGAUGAUCAUUAGCCGGGCUGAGAGGAUGGACGGCCACAUUGGGACUGAGAAACCGGCCAGACUUCUAACGGGGGCAGCAGUGGGGGAUCUUGCGCAAAGGAGGAAAGUCCGGCUGAGCAACGGCGGGGUAUGGGUGACGGCCUUCGGGGUGUAAAGGUAUGUUAAUCGGGACGCGGUACCGGAAGAGUAAGCAACGGCUAACUACGUGCCAGCAGCCGCGGUAAUAC